rnacentral:rRNA from 1 species
AGGUGAACUUGCGGAAGGACAUUGUCG